CCCUUAGACGUUCUGGGCCGCACGCGCGCUACACUGACGAAGGCAACGAGCUUUCCUUUACCGAAAGGUACGGGUAAUCUUUUGAAACUUCGUCGUGCUGGGGAUAGAUCCUUGCAAUUUUUGAUCUUAAACGAGGAAUGCCUAGUAAGCGCAAGUCAUCAACUUGCGUUGAUUACGUCCCUGCCCUUUGUACACACCGCCCGUCGCUACUACCGAUUGAAUGGUUUAGUGAGGCCUUCGGAUCCGCGACUCGUUUGUGGAGAAGUUGGUCAAACUUGGUCAUUUAGAGGAAGUAAAAGUCGUAACA
rnacentral:rRNA from 1 species